rnacentral:rRNA from 1 species
GAUGAACGCUGGCGGCGUGCCUAAUACAUGCAAGUCGAGCGAACAGACGAGGAGCUUGCUCCUCUGACGUUAGCGGCGGACGGGUGAGUAACACGUGGAUAACCUACCUAUAAGACUGGGAUAACUUCGGGAAACCGGAGCUAAUACCGGAUAAUAUAUUGAACCGCAUGGUUCAAUAGUGAAAGACGGUUUUGCUGUCACUUAUAGAUGGAUCCGCGCCGCAUUAGCUAGUUGGUAAGGUAACGGCUUACCAAGGCGACGAUGCGUAGCCGACCUGAGAGGGUGAGCGGCCACACUGGAACUGAGACACGGUCCAGACUCCUACGGGAGGCAGCAGUAGGGAAUCUUCCGCAAUGGGCGAAAGCUUGACGGAGCAACGCCGCGUGAGUGAUGAAGGUCUUCGGAUCGUAAAACUCUGUUAUUAGGGAAGAACAAAUGUGUAAGUAACUAUGCACGUCUUGACGGUACCUAAUCAGAAAGCCACGGCUAACUACGUG